rnacentral:rRNA from 1 species
AUGCAGAUCUUCGUGAAGACACUCACGGGCAAGACCAUCACCCUUGAGGUGGAGUCGUCUGACACCAUCGACAACGUGAAGGCCAAGAUCCAGGACAAGGAGGGCAUUCCCCCGGACCAGCAGCGCCUUAUCUUCGCUGGCAAGCAGCUGGAGGACGGUCGCACCCUUGCCGACUACAACAUCCAGAAGGAAUCCACCCUCCACCUGGUGCUCCGCCUGCGUGGUGGCAUGCAGAUCUUCGUGAAGACCCUCACCGGCAAGACCAUCACUCUGGAGGUUGAUAGCUCCGACACCAUUGACAACGUCAAGGCUAAGAUCCAGGACAAGGAGGGCAUUCCCCCGGACCAGCAGCGCCUUAUCUUCGCAGGCAAGCAGCUAGAGGAUGGUCGCACCCUUUCCGACUACAACAUCCAGAAGGAGUCCACCCUUCACCUGGUGCUCCGCCUCCGUGGUGGUAUGCAGAUUUUCGUGAAGACCCUCACCGGCAAGACUAUCACCCUUGAGGUUGAGAGCUCUGACACCAUCGACAACGUCAAGGCCAAGAUCCAGGACAAGGAGCGCAUUCCUUCGGACCAGCAGCGCCUCAUCUUCGCUGGCAAGCAGCUGGAGGAUGGCCGCACCCUUGCGGACUACAACAUCCAGAAGGAGUCCACCCUCCACCUGGUGCUCCGCCUCCGCGGUGGUCAGUAA